GUGAACGCUGGCGGCAGGCCUAACACAUGCAAGUCGAGCGGCAGCAUGAGGUGUAGCAAUACACCUUGAUGGCGAGCGGCGGACGGGUGAGGAAUGCCUCGGAAUCUGCCUUUUUGUGGGGGAUAACGUAGGGAAACUUACGCUAAUACCGCAUACGUCCGAAAAGGAGAAAGUGGGGGACUCGCAAGAGCCUCACGCGAAAAGAUGAGCCGAGGCCGGAUUAGCUAGUUGGAGAGGUAAAGGCUCCCCAAGGCGACGAUCCGUAGCUGGUCUGAGAGGAUGAUCAGCCACACUGGAACUGAGACACGGUCCAGACUCCUACGGGAGGCAGCAGUGGGAAUCUUGGACAAUGGGCGCAAGCCUGAUCCAGCCAUGCCGCGUGUGUGAAGAAGGCCUUCGGGUUGUAAAGCACUUUUGUUCGGGAAGAAGAAAACGGACUGAAUAAUACUUGGUUCGGAUGACGGUACCGAAAGAAUAAGCACCGGCUAACUUCGUGCCAGCAGCCGCGGUAAUACGAAGGGUGCAAGCGUUACUCGGAAUUACUGGGCGUAAAGGUUGCGUAGGUGGUUUGUUAAGUCUGAUGUGAAAGCCCUGGGCUCAACCUGGGAACUGCAUCGGAUACUGGCAAGCUAGAGUGCGAUAGAGGAUGGUGGAAUUCCCGGUGUAGCGGUGAAAUGCGUAGAGAUCGGGAGGAACAUUCGUGGCGAAGGCGGCCAUCUGGAUCAGCACUGACACUCAGCACGAAAGCGUGGGGUAGCAAACAGGAUUAGAUACCCUGGUAGUCCACGCCGUAAACGAUGAGUGCUAGAUGUCGCGGGUAUUGACCCCUGCGGCGUCGCAGCUACGCAUUAAGCACUCCGCCUGGGGAGUACGGCCGCAAGGCUAAAACUCAAAGGAAUUGACGGGGGCCCGCCACAAGCGGUGGAGCAUGUGGUUCAAUUCGACGCAACGCGAAGAACCUUACCUGGGUUAAAUCCACUUGAACCCUUCGGAGACGAGGGGGUGCUCGCAAGAGAGCGAGUGAGAAGGUGCUGCAUGGCUGUCGUCAGCCUCGUGUCGUGAGAUGUUGGGUUAAGUCCCGCAACGAGCGCAACCCCUGUCGUUAGUUGCCAACGGGAAAGCCGGGCACUCUAACGAGACUGCCGACGUUAAGUCGGAGGAAGGUGGGGAUGACGUCAAGUCCUCAUGGCCCUUAUGCCCAGGGCUACACACGUGCUACAAUGGCCGGUACAAAGGGUUGCCACACCGCGAGGUGGAGCCAAUCCCAAAAAACCGGUCUCAGUUCGGAUAGAAGUCUGCAACUCGACUUCUUGAAGUCGGAAUCGCUAGUAAUCGCGGAUCAGCACGCCGCGGUGAAUACGUUCCCGGGCCUUGUACACAACCGCCCGUCACACCAUGGGAGUCAGUUGCUCCAGAAGUGGCUUGCCUAACCGAAAGGAAGGCGGUCCCCAAGGAGUGGCUGGUAACUGGGGUG
rnacentral:rRNA from 1 species